rnacentral:rRNA from 1 species
CCUACGGGAGGCUGCAGUGGGGAAUAUUGGACAAUGGGGGGAACCCUGAUCCAGCCAUGCCGCGUGUGUGAAGAAGGCCCUCGGGUUGUAAAGCACUUUCAGUGAGGAAGAACGCCUGGUGGUUAAUACCCAUCAGGAAAGACAUCACUCACAGAAGAAGCACCGGCUAACUCCGUGCCAGCAGCCGCGGUAAUACGGAGGGUGCGAGCGUUAAUCGGAAUUACUGGGCGUAAAGCGCGCGUAGGUGGCUUGAUAAGCCGGUUGUGAAAGCCCCGGGCUCAACCUGGGAACGGCAUCCGGAACUGUCAAGCUAGAGUGCAGGAGAGGAAGGUAGAAUUACCGGUGUAGCGGUGAAAUGCGUAGAGAUCGGGAGGAAUACCAGUGGCGAAGGCGGCCUUCUGGACUGACACUGACACUGAGGUGCGAAAGCGUGGGUAGCAAACAGGAUUAGAUACCCGUGUAGUC